AUUGAACGCUGGCGGAAUGCUUUACACAUGCAAGUCGAGCGGCAGCACGGGGGCAACCCUGGUGGCGAGCGGCGAACGGGUGAGUAAUACAUCGGAACAUGCCCAGUCGUGGGGGAUAACACUUCGAAAGAAGUGCUAAUACCGCAUACGUCCUGAGGGAGAAAGCGGGGGAUCGCAAGACCUCGCGCGAUUGGAGUGGCCGAUGUCAGAUUAGCUAGUUGGUGGGGUAAAGGCCUACCAAGGCAACGAUCUGUAGCUGGUCUGAGAGGAUGAUCAGCCACACUGGGACUGAGACACGGCCCAGACUCCUACGGGAGGCAGCAGUGGGGAAUUUUGGACAAUGGGGGCAACCCUGAUCCAGCCAUGCCGCGUGAGUGAAGAAGGCCUUCGGGUUGUAAAGCUCUUUAGGCAGGAACGAAACGGCGAGCUCUAACAUAGCUUGCUAAUGACGGUACCUGAAGAAGAAGCACCGGCUAACUACGUG
rnacentral:rRNA from 1 species